UCCAGCAGUUGUCAGCUAUCCAGGCUGUGUGGUGCCCGAGAUCGUGUUACACUGUUGGAAGAGUAAACACUGCCUUACUAAGGGUCGGCUCCCAGCACUGUUUUGGUGUCUGGUGCUGAGUACUUUCAGGCAGUAUUGCAUCCCUGAGAGUGGAAUGACUCCUUGUGGAGUUGGUCCUGGUCUGGGUGCAAACAAU
ensembl:snoRNA Snora74a small nucleolar RNA, H/ACA box 74A